rnacentral:lncRNA from 1 species
GUGUCCCUCGUUGAAAAUUUGGGGGUCUUUAUGAUAAUUUUCCUAAAUCUUAGGGGUGUAGGUUUCUUUUUUCUAAAUACUUACAAAUAAAAUAAAAUAAUCACUAGAAAUAGUCAAAAUUAACAAAUAAAUCAGGCCUAAACCAUUAUACAUAUUAGGAUUGCCAGAACAAAUUGCAAAUGUUGGAAAUAAGUGUUCGUCCAACAGCAGCUCAUUGCCAACCAUUUGAUGGGCAAAUGUAAUGACAUUAAUUUUUUGUGUUUAUUAGGAACUGUCUUUUAUUUAAAUGAUUGAAUGGAGUUUUACUAAACCCAGAUUUUUCCUGAAAAUAAGACAGACGAUUUACAUUUAGAUCAUAAUGUAAAAUUAUAUGAAGCAUUAUGAAGAGUUUGACAUCGACUAAAAAUAAUUUUUAGGCUAUAUAUAUCAAUUUGGAUAACGUAUUCUUAACUCAUGACUUAAUUUUUGAAUAUAUCAUUAGUCUAGAGCUUCUAAAAAUAUUGCAUUCAAAAGUGUUUAUGUACUAACUAUAGGCUCACUUGCUUGGUCAGGCAAACUUUCCUUGUCAACCGGGCCUAUUAGAUAGCCUAAUAUUAAUUAUUCAACAGGUUGUUCUUAGGAUUCAUAGCCUAAAGCUACAAUCAUGUUUUAAAAUAAGAAUUUUAUUGUGGGCAUUUUCACGUAAACGAUUCGAACUACCUGUCGUAAAAAAGUUUACAUCGUAUAACGUUAGUACGACAAGUCAUUUGACGGCUCAAAAUCAAUUUGACACGUCUUUUGUAUCAUUUUCGCCUAGAUGACAACUCUUGAUCCUUAUCGCUUGGCGCCAAAACCAACUUUUCAUAAACUCCUCCUUCUCCAAUAACACAUAUUCGCACUAAAACCUCCAAUUGUUUGUAUUAUAAACCCACUUCAUUUCAAAGCUAAGCAAAUAUAAAUACUCAUCAUUUUGGGGUGCUUACUCUAAAUUUUUGUAGUAGUGUUCGUUUGCUUAGCUUACCUAGCUACCCAGCCUCGUUGUAUGCAUCCCCUGCUAAGCAAAAGGUCUGCUGCAUUAGCAUGGUGAUAGCAUAGGGUUUUGAGAAAUCUAAAAUUCCCCCCACCAAAUAAAUAAAUAAAUAAAUAAGACUAAGACUUAUAAAAUUAACAUAAACGUAAAGGGAUUGUUCGCUUUUUUGUCCAAAGUCUAAAUUUUAUUCUUGAUCAGAACUUUUAAGAGUUUUACUUCUUUUGUUGUUUAAAACUUAUAUUUGAUUAUAAGAUAUUUAUGUUUGAAUAGGGAAAAAGUGAGAUUAUUCGCACUUUAAAAAUUAUUUUGGAACUAUUCAUUUAUAAAAUAUUUUUAUCAAAAAAAUACCCUUUUGUAAUGGUAUUAUGGUUUAAUCGCAUAAUACCAUUACACUGUUAAAUCACAUAACUUAAAAACUUUCUUGUAUUUAAAAAAUCCAAGAUCCUGAAUUAGAACAUACAUAUAAUAUAUCUAAUCCACCCAUCCAU